CCUUCGAUAGCUCAGUUGGUAGAGCGGAGGACUGUAGAGUAUGAGAGGUCAUCCUUAGGUCGCUGGUUCAACUCCGGCUCGAAGGA
rnacentral:tRNA from 1 species